rnacentral:rRNA from 1 species
AGAUUGAACGCUGGCGGCAUGCCUUACACAUGCAAGUCGAACGGCAGCACGGGAGCAAUCCUGGUGGCGAGUGGCGAACGGGUGAGUAAUACAUCGGAACGUGCCCAGUAGUGGGGGAUAACCCGGCGAAAGCCGGACUAAUACCGCAUACGACCUACGGGUGAAAGCAGGGGAUCGCAAGACCUUGCGCUAUUGGAGCGGCCGAUGUCAGAUUAGCUUGUUGGCGGGGUAAAAGCCCACCAAGGCGACGAUCUGUAGCUGGUCUGAGAGGACGACCAGCCACACUGGGACUGAGACACGGCCCAGACUCCUACGGGAGGCAGCAGUGGGGAAUCUUGCGCAAUGGGCGAAAGCCUGACGCAGCAACGCCGCGUGGGGGAUGAAGGCCUUCGGGUUGUAAACCCCUUUCAGUGGGAACGAAUUGACGGUACCCACAGAAGAAGCCCCGGCCAACUACGUGCCAGCAGCCGC